AGGCAGCAGUUAGGAAUUUUGCGCAAUGGCCGCAAGGCUGACGCAGCAACGCCGCGUGGGUGAAGAAGGCCUUCGGGUCGUAAAGCCCUGUCAGGUGGGAAGAACGACACGGGGAGGAAUAUGCUCUGUGAGUGACGGUACCACCAGAGGAAGCACCGGCUAACUCCGUGCCAGCAGCCGCGGUAAUACGGAGGGUGCGAGCGUUAUUCGGAAUUACUGGGCGUAAAGCGCGUGUAGGCGGCCAACCAAGUCUGAUGUGAAAGCCCUGGGCUUAACCUGGGAAGUGCAUUGGAAACUGGCUGGCUUGAGUACUGGAGAGGAAGGGGGAAUUCCCGGUGUAGAGGUGAAAUUCGUAGAGAUCGGGAGGAAUACCAGUGGCGAAGGCGCCCUUCUGGACGGUUACUGACGCUGAGACGCGAAAGCGUGGGGAGCAAACAGGAUUAGAUACCCCGGUAG
rnacentral:rRNA from 1 species